AACGAACGCUGGCGGCAGGCUUAACACAUGCAAGUCGAACGCGUGUAGCAAUACACGAGUGGCGCACGGGUGAGUAACGCGUGGAUAUCUGCCUUUUGGUUCGGAAUAACUCCGGGAAACUGGAGCUAAUACCGGAUGGUUCCUUCGGGAUAAAGAUUUAUCGCCAAAAGAUGAGUCCGCGUACGAUUAGCUAGUUGGUGAGGUAAUGGCUCACCAAGGCGACGAUCGUUAGCUGGUCUGAGAAGACGAUCAGCCACACUGGGACUGAGACACGGCCCAGACUCCUACGGGAGGCAGCAGUGGGGAAUAUUGGACAAUGGGGGCAACCCUGAUCCAGCCAUGCCGCGUGAGUGAUGAAGGCCUUCGGGUUGUAAAGCUCUUUUGGCGGGGACGAUGAUGACGGUACCCGCAGAAUAAGCCCCGGCUAACUUCGUGCCAGCAGCCGCGGUAAAAC
rnacentral:rRNA from 1 species